rnacentral:rRNA from 1 species
AGAGUUUGAUCCUGGCUCAGGAUGAACCCUGGCGGCGUGCUUAAUACAUUGCAAGUCGAGCGAACAGACGAGGAGCUUGCUCCUCUGACGUUAGCGGCGGACGGGUGAGUAACACGUGGAUAACCUACCUAUAAGACUGGGAUAACUUCGGGAAACCGGAGCUAAUACCGGAUAACAUGUUGAACCGCAUGGUUCAACAGUGAAAGACGGUCUUGCUGUCGCUUAUAGAUGGAUCCGCGCCGCAUUAGCUAGUUGGUAAGGUAACGGCUUACCAAGGCAACGAUGCGUAGCCGACCUGAGAGGGUGAUCGGCCACACUGGAACUGAGACACGGUCCAGACUCCUACGGGAGGCAGCAGUAGGGAAUCUUCCGCAAUGGGCGAAAGCCUGACGGAGCAACGCCGCGUGAGUGAAGAAGGUCUUCGGAUCGUAAAACUCUGUUAUUAGGGAAGAACAAAUGUGUAAGUAACUAUGCACGUCUUGACGGUACCUAAUCAGAAAGCCACGGCUAACUACGUGCCAGCAGCCGCGGUAAUACGUAGGUGGCAAGCGUUAUCCGGAAUAUUGG